ACCACUAUCGUUUUAUCAGCU
rnacentral:miRNA from 1 species